CCUACGGGCGGCAGCAGUGAGGAAUAUUGGUCAAUGGGCUCGAGCCUGAACCAGCCAAGUCGCGUGAGGGAAGACGGUCCUAUGGAUUGUAAACCUCUUUUGUCGGGGAGCAACAGACCCCCCGCGUGGCGUUCUGAGAGUACCCGAAGAAAAAGCAUCGGCUAACUCCGUGCCAGCCGCCGCGGUAAUACGGAGGAUGCGAGCGUUAUCCGGAUUUAUUGGGUUUAAAGGGUGCGUAGGCGGAACAUUAAGUCAGCGGUAAAAUCGAGGGGCUCAACCCCUUUAAGCCGUUGAAACUGGUGAUCUUGAGUGGGCGAGAAGUAUGCGGAAUGCGUGUUGUAGCGGUGAAAUGCAUAGAUAUCACGCAGAACUCCGAUUGCGAAGGCAGCAUACCGGCGCCCGACUGACGCUGAGGCACGAAAGCGUGGGGAUCGAACAGGAUUAGAUACCCUGGUAGUC
rnacentral:rRNA from 1 species